rnacentral:rRNA from 1 species
AUUGAACGCUGGCGGCAUGCCUUACACAUGCAAGUCGAACGGCAGCACGGGAGCAAUCCUGGUGGCGAGUGGCGAACGGGUGAGUAAUAUAUCGGAACGUGCCCAGUCGUGGGGGAUAACGUAGCGAAAGCUCCGCUAAUACCGCAUACGAUCUACGGACGAAAGCGGGGGACCGCAAGACCUCGCGCGAUUGGAGCGGCCGAUAGUAGAUUAGCUAGUUGGUGGGGUAAGGGCCCACCAAGGCGACCAUCUGUAGCUGGUCUGUGAGGACGACCAGCCACACUGGGACUGAGACACGGCCCAGACUCCUACGGGAGGCAGCAGUGGGGAAUUUUGGACAAUGGGCGCAAGCCUGAUCCAGCAAUGCCGCGUGCAGGACGAAGGCCUUCGGGUUGUAAACUGCUUUUGUACGGAACGAAACGGUUCUCUCUAAUACAGGGGGCUAAUGACGGUACCGUAAGAAUAAGCACCGGCUAACUACGUGCCAGCCGCCGCAGUAACAC